CUAACAAUAGAAUAAAAAAAAGCAUUUCGACUGGUCUUUCACGAGUCCAGUAGGCGUAGGUUCAAAUCCUACUUGUUGUG
rfam:Picea glauca, whole genome shotgun sequence.